ensembl:lncRNA
AUGUGUCUUACAUUUACAAAAAGCCUCAGAUUAAUAUUAUUGAGAUCAAAAACCUAUGGUUUCAACGAAGGACAUCAUUCAAGGUGUAAAGUUAAGAGUGUAAUCUUGAGGGAUUUCAUGAUCUCCUCAAAAUUUGGAUGGUUCACUGACUAUGGUGCUUUCUCGAUAGAAACAAGCCAAACGACCUCAGAACACCAACAGUGUCCUCUUCUCUUUCACAGGGGGCAGAUUACUUCACUCUCCUUCAUUUACACUUUUAUCUUCUAGCGCUUUUUUUUGUCGUUUUUUGAACCUGCACUAUGAGAAAAAGGGCCCAUAUUUAAUGAAAAACGGUGUUUUUCCCCAAUCCCCUCUCUCUUUUGUGUGUGUUGUCUGGUGUCCUUAGUGCGGCCAUAUAAGUGAUACCUGCUUUUGCCUGUGUAUGGCUAGCAGUAUGUUGUUUUAUCCAGAUUUGGGGGUCUAUUCUAACUCAGUUCCAAUCUGUUCAGUUCAAGAUGGGAAUUUCUUACCUGGUAUCCAAACUGAAUUCACAUUCCAUUUUGCAGAUGGAAUUUAGAUGGAAUUGACCUCCACCCUGAAUAAUGUCACUCCAGUGUGCUAGGUAUUGGUCUUAUAGACAAUGACUCGGAGGGGGGGAACGAAUAGCCUGGGACCCAGAUCUGUUUGUGCUGUCUUUCCAACUCCUGUGGUCAUUCUGGUCAAGACAGCACAAACAGAUCUGGGAACCAGGUUAAGGCAGAAUGAAUGGGUAAAAGUAGAUACAACUAUUCCCACCUCCAAACAGGACAGACCUAGCCUGGGUUAAACUAGGCUGAAUGCUGUGAUACAAGUUAGCGUAGCAUUCAGUCUGGUUUAACCAGGCUAUAGGAGAGACUAUAGUCCCCUUGUUGUUCAGAUGAACUCUGUGGCCAUCAAUCCUUUGUAGAACAUGCUCUCUGAUGAUGAUGAUUCUCGCUGUGUAAGUUUGAAAAUGCAAUACUUACAAUAAAACACCAAGAUUUUCAAACCGGAACUUGUUGACUUUGUCUACUACCUAUCUAUAUUGUUAUUUUCAAGGUUGUUUUUAAUCCAUUCUCCGUUCAUUUGAGGAAGUCAGACACUUCUUGUCGGUUGGGUUCCUGUCAGUCAGCGAUACACUUGAGUGUACGAAACAUUAUGAACACCUGCUCUUUCUAUGUCAUAGACUGACCAGGUGAAUCCAGGUGAAAGCUAUGAUCCCUUAUUGAUGUCACUUGUUAAAUCCACUUCAAUCAGUGUAGAUGAAGGGAAGGAGACAAGUUAGAGACACAUUUUUAAGCCUUGAGACAAUUGAGACAUGGAUUGUGUACGUGUGCCAUUCAGAGGGUGAAUGGGCAAGACAAAAGAUUUAAGUGCCUUUGAACAGGGUAUGGUAGUAGGUUUGUGUCAAGAUCAGCAACACUGCUGAGUUUUUCACGCUCAACAGUUUCCUGUGUGUAUCAAGAAUUGUCCACCACCCAAAGGACAACUAGCCAACUUGACACAACCGUGGGAAGCAUUGGAGUCAACAAGGUAUCUCGGACCUGCCUAGUGUGUUCCUUGUUCUUCAUGAUGCUCUCUGCGCUUUUAACGGACCUCUGAGACUAUCACAGUGCAGGUGCAUUUAUACGGAGACUUGAUUACACACAGGUGGAUUCUAUUUAUCAUCAUUAGUCAUUUAGGUCAACAUUGGAUCAUUCAGAGAUCCUCACUGAACUUCUGGAGAGAGUUUGCUGCACUGAAAGUAAAGGGGCUGAAUAAUUUUGCACGCCCAAUUUUUCAGCUUUUGAUUUGUUAAAAAAGUUUGAAAUAUCCAAUAAAUGUCGUUCCACUUCAUGAUUGUGUCCCACUUGUUGUUGAUUCUUCACAAAAAAAUACAGUUUUAUAUCUUUAUGUUUGAAGCCUG